UACAGAGGGUGCGAGCGUUAAUCGGAAUACUGGGCGUAAAGCGUGCGUAGACGGUUUCGUAAGUCGGGUGUGAAAUCCCCGGGCUCAACCUGGGAAUUGCAUUCGAAACUGCGAGGCUAGGGUACGGAAGAGGGAAGCGGAAUUUCUGGUGUAGCGGUGAAAUGCGUAGAUAUCAGAAGGAACAUCAGUGGCGAAAGCGGCUUCCUGGUCCAGUACCGACGUUCAGGCACGAAAGCGUGGGGAGC
rnacentral:rRNA from 1 species